UUCUUGUAAUGAAGUUGAAUUGUGUUACAUUGAUCUUAGUUGUUGUUUUUACACUUGUCCUUGUUUCUUCAGAAGGAAGACAACUCCUACAAACCACUACGACACAACCACCUCUAAAUGCAAGAGCCAAAGAUGUAAUUGGUGGCAGCAAGCUGCCUGAUACACGGAGUGGUUGGGGCGGUUGUUGGCGUUGCUGGAAAAAUCGUCGCUUGUUACACACCAUAUCCCUGGGUUGAUCGACAUAUAUAUAUGUAGAGAUUAUUAUGUUUCAUAAGCAAAGAUAAUAGAUACUACUACCCCGGAUUUAUUCAUUUUUUAUAUACUACUUAAUGGUAAUUAAUAAUAUUGCAAGACAAUUGAUUAACACGAA